AACGCCCAAACCAUAAGAGCAGCAACACUCAAGUUUGCUGCCUGCCCAUAAAGAGGAGUGCACCUUCCUGCGCUUCCUUCCUUCUUUUCUCUCUGUGGGUGGGUGGGAGGCACACUUCCUCGCAGGUAAGCGUGCACGCAAGAGUGUGUGUGCGUGUUGGCUUCCACGCUGUCUCGUUGUUCUCCACUUCCUUUACCAGCGGCUUAUUUUGCAAGCUUCUGUCGGCGCUUCUGUACCCAGCUAUGCGAGGCCAGGAGCGAAUAUGGAAGGCAGCCCCGCUGCCGCAGGCCUUCCAUGCUGCUCUCGAGUCGGGUAACUGGCUACGUGCGCUUCAGCUUUAUCAGCGCCACCCCUAUCACACCCCACCCGCAGAUACAUUUGACCUCUUGAAGGCCAUCAUGCACUACACCGGUGUCGGCAUCGAGGAUGUGAAGGUGCGCUUUAAUGAGAAGAUACGCCUUUCCGCUAGCUUACAGCGCCGCAAGUCUGAGGAGGUGGAGUGGUCGCUGUUUUGGGAGGCGCUCAAUAAGGGUGAUGGUAAGAUGAUCAGCGAAGCUCUGUCAGGGGCCAGCGUGAGUGGUGCCACCCAGCAGAUAGGCAUGGCGGAGGCGUGUGCCGUUCUGCUGAAGGGGGCGGGAAAGGAGUGGCACACGCGCCUCGUGGAUGACUUACCCUUUUCCACUGUCACCCGAUGCAGCCUCCUCCACGCCGCUCUCGCAGAGAAGCGCCCCGACGUGGCAGCGGAGAUGCUCAGCCACGCGCGUGUGACCCGCUCGGAUUUGAGCAGCUUGUGGCCGCUCAUGGCUAAGUGCACCUGGGAGGAGGUGCUGAGGAUGAUCUCGGCCUGUCCAAAGAACGCCGUGCCUUACAGCCAAGCGCUUCCUUUCAUCCUGAAGCAAGGCUGCAGCUUGCAGACACUCUCCGAACAUCUCGAACACGCCCGGGUCUUGGGGGACGCCGACGUUGUCGCCCCGUUGCUGGCGUACGCAGUGGAGAUGGAGGACUGGCCGUACGUAGAACGGUGCGUGGGUCAUUUAGUCGACAUUGGCAGAAUCACCCCUUCUGCCCGUGAGGCCUUUGGCCACUUGUGCAAACUGCAUGGACCGAAGCGCGUAUGUCAUCGGCUGAUGGAACAUCACGUGGAGCUCUCCAGCAUGACCAUCGAAGACCUGGAGUCCCUCCGGUUUUGAGGACGGGACGUGGCGUUGAUGGACUGUGGUGACGAGUGCAAAAGUGGAAGGGUCAGUGCUGGCGAGGCGGUUUUGACGCCUGCCUCUCUACUGUAAAGGUGCAUCCCCGCCUCCCCCAUGCGUUUGAGUGUACGCUUGUUAGACUGCUAUGCCGCUGCCGGCCUUUCUCACAGCCCUUUUUUUUUGCUACACUUUCUUCCCUCUGGCAGGUUCGGAGUGUAGGGAUCGAAUGGAGGAGACUGCAACAGGAUGCGUGAUGUGGGAUGAAGACGGCUUUGAGGGCGACGCGUUUUCUUCUUGAUGUCUUCUCACAGAUGAAUGCUUUGUGGUAUGUGUAACGAGGUGUGCGCAGGAGCGGCGAGAGAGAGACGAAGGCUGGGGUAGGAGAGAAAUGCCUUGCUGGGGAGGGGAAGGGAUGGCGGCGGUGGAGGACCAGCUCAAAAUGACAGAGAGAUAAAGGAGAGCUAAAUAUACAGAGCAGCGCGACUACACUGAGCUGUGCUGCACCUUGGGCCGCUGCCAUCUCCCCCCCCUCCUCUUCCCCCCCCCUGCUCGGAACCCUUUUCCUUCAUCUCUUGCGAUGCUUUUUUUUUCAGCCUCGAAUCGACAACCAGAGGGAGGAACGAGAUGAGGGAGACCCAGCGCGCUCUCGCCCUCGCCCUCCCUCAAUAUCUGCUCCUAAUUCAAAGGUGCCUGCCACAUCCAGAUGAACUCUCGAUUCUAUGCAC
rnacentral:misc_RNA from 1 species